UAGGGAAUAUUGGUAAUCUGGGAAACCGGGAACCAGCAACGCCGCGUGCGCGAUGAAGGCCUUCGGGUUGUAAAGCGCUUUUUAAAGGGAUGAGGAAGGACAGUACCUUUAGAAUAAGCCUCGGCUAACUACGUGCCAGCAGCCGCGGUAAUACGGAGGAUGCAAGCGUUAUCCGGAUUCAUUGGGUUUAAAGGGUGCGUAGGCGGCUUUUUAAGUCAGUGGUGAAAUCCUGUCGCUCAACGAUAGAAUUGCCAUUGAUACUGAAAAGCUUGAGUUCAGUUGAGGUAAGCGGAAUGUGUAGUGUAGCGGUGAAAUGCUUAGAUAUUACACAGAACACCGAUUGCGAAGGCAGCUUACUAAACUGACACUGACGCUGAUGCACGAAAGCUGGGGAUCGAAC
rnacentral:rRNA from 1 species